rnacentral:lncRNA from 1 species
CUCCAGUGGCAGAGAUCUGCUUAUAUAAGAUCUGGAGGAGCUAUAGCUGGAAAUAUGAUGUUUGCGCAUGUUUAUUGUGUGCUUGUGGAAGCUGCUUGUCAUCUGAAGACUGUGUGACCUCAGCUGGAAAACCACAGAGAAUCAGAAUAUUUAGCCGCAGAAUGUUUUCUGGAAUAAGAUCUACCUUUUGUGGUGUUUUUCAAUCUGUUCUGCACAAACCGGACUGCCUCUCACACACACACACACAUCUAGUGAUGAACCGAAGUUUCUCUCGAGCGCUGCCUGCUUCUGAGAAACACUGGCCUCCAGGAAUAUGUGAGAACUCACGGGGAGAACAUCAGCACUGAGCUGCUGGAGCAAAUGGCUCUCACAGAUCUGAAGGCUAAGUGAUUGGGGAAAUGCCACGCUGGAAAUGGGGAAUUGCCACGAUAGUUAUUGGAAAAUUGCCAUGCUUUUGAUGUUUGGAUGGGGGACAUGUCCACGCCAGUUCCUUUUUUUUUUUUUUUUUAUCAAGUUUAUUCAUUCAGUGUGUUGAGUCACAUCGGUUUAGAUUUGUUUCUGUUCAGGUUUAUCAGUUUAAUUUUUUUUUUCUUAUGAUGAUUGUCAUGACCUUUUUCUUGCUUGUUUCUCGUGUUUUUAUUUAAAAUCUCCUGUUUGUCUAGAAACGGCACAUGAUGAAUUUCUCCCACAUCUGCUUUCCUGAAUAAAGUGCUCGGACGGAGUGCAGUACUAGACUCCGCUUUUACAGACACUCCUGUUGAAAUCCAGAGCAAUAUUUCCUCCUUUUAAUCCGUUUUGGGCAGAUAAGCGUUUGAUUCCAGUUUCACUGUGACCCUUGUUUUCGUCAUACAAUAUUAUAUCUCCAGUUCAUAUUUCAGUCAUUACUGACCCUCGUGUCGCUCCAAACCUGUAUGACUCGUUUCUUCUGCAGAAAACAAAAGAAUGAACUUUGAUCAUCGAACCAGUGACUGUCAUUGAAUGAAUCUAUGAUUAUAACAUGCGCCUACACCAACCACUGCGUCGUCACCUUUAG